rnacentral:rRNA from 1 species
GAUGAACGCUGGCGGCGUGCCUAAUACAUGCAAGUCGAGCGAACAGAUGAGGAGCUUGCUCCUCUGACGUUAGCGGCGGACGGGUGAGUAACACGUGGAUAACCUACCUAUAAGACUGGGAUAACUUCGGGAAACCGGAGCUAAUACCGGAUAAUAUAUUGAACCGCAUGGUUCAAUAGUGAAAGACGGUUUUGCUGUCACUUAUAGAUGGUUCCGCGCCGCAUUAGCUAGUUGGUAAGGUAACGGCUUACCAAGGCAACGAUGCGUAGCCGAUCUGAGAGGGUGAUCGGCCACACUGGAACUGAGACACGGUCCAGACUCCUACGGGAGGCAGCAGUAGGGAAUCUUCCGCAAUGGGCGCAAGCUUGACGGAGCAACGCCGCGUGAGUGAUGAAGGUCUUCGGAUCGUAAAACUCUGUUAUUAGGGAAGAACAAAUGUGUAAGUAACUAUGCACGUCUUGACGGUACCUAAUCAGAAAGCCACGGCUAACUACGUG